AAAGCAGAAAUUUAUACUACGUUUACACGUGGGCGGCAAUUUUCAUAAACGGACAUUUCAACCUCUCCGGUUUCAAAAAUAACAUUGUGCACACCUGUCAGUUUUCAGAAAAGUGUUCAUUU